rnacentral:lncRNA from 1 species
CCACUCCCCAGCUCUUGCCCCCAUCUGCCCAGAGCUUGAAUGGCUGUCCGACAACGUCAGGCUGGCAGCGAGGAGGCAGGCGUGGAUGCUAUGAGAGCUGGAACUGCAGAGCUGUGCUGAGAUGGCUCAGGGCCCAGAGCUGUUUUCUCCCGAGCUGAAGAGGAGAGAAAUCUGACAGCCCUGCCAGUGACAGAGAACUUCAGGAUGGGAGACUAUUUGGGAAACUGCCCUGAAAAAGUCUGCCUUCCAGUGCCUUACCACUCUUUCUGAGAAGAAAUUUUUCUUGGUAUCCAAACUGAACCACCCAUGAUGCAACUUAAGGCCCCACUUGUUCUAUUACUGUUACCUGGGAGAAGAGACCAACCUCCACCUCACUACACCGUAACUCAGGACAGCCUAAGAGGCCUCAGCUGUACCACUUUGUAGUGGAAAUGCUAAGUCAUGGCCUGAAGCAGUGAUUAAGCACCUGGUGGAAGGCAGGACCAACCCAGGGGAGCUCAGCUGCAUGCAAUGGCCCUGAGUGACUGGAAGGGGUAGAACCAGGAUCCACCCUUUCCCAGACCUCAUUUAAGGGUUAGCUGUGGAGGUGAUGGCAUCUUACUGGAAGCCCCUGUGUCCCUGAGGCCUUCUGAAGUUUGCAGGUCUUGGUGUGGACAGAAAAAUCCAUCGCAUGUAGCUGCAAUUACACUGGGACUCAGAAGAUUAGAAGAUGCUUUGCUCUCCUGCUCCUGCUUGCUAGAAUGGAAGAGGUCAUCUAUUUUUAAAGUACUUGGCAGAGGACCAGCACAGGCACUGCAGAUGCGAUACAUCGAGUUCAUCACUGUCUGCUCCUCAUGGCAUGGCCAGAUCAUCAGGUUAUCUUCUACUUGCCUGUUUCCAUGGAAGUCAGCUCUCUUUGGGAUGGCUUACUUCAGCUUCAGCAGCUUUCCAGACCGCAUCUGGGGGUUAACACACCACUUCCACUGAGUGUCACCUUCUUGGAGGUAGGAGUUUCUAGACCCUAGAGCCUGCGAUGAGCAGAUCUAUAAUUGUGCAAACGUGGCUGCCUGUCAGACACAGAUAUUUAUUCCUAUGUCUGCAUGAGGAAUCAUAGGAAGUGCCUACACAAGCAAUAUCCUGCAUUUCGUGGGCUAGCUUGUGUUCCUACUCCCUUUAAAAUGUUUCUGGUAGCUUCCUAUAGGGUGAUUCUGUACCCAGAGCAGUUAUGUCUGCAGAUUAGAGCUAAAAGCUAAUUACGCAUAAUAAAGUUGUUGGAGGGAAGAACUCUGCACUCUGUCCUUUUGGCAUUAGGCAAUUACCACCCAGCCCAUUUCAGAGCUUUAUGUUUUUUUCAUUUAAUACUGCCUGGCUGAUUUCUCCCUGCAUGGAGCAUCACAUACCACCAGCACUCACCUUUAGCUCCUUCUGAUACCUACCUUCAAUAAAUAUUUAGAUUCUGGAAUAACUUUAUACUCUGUGCACUUAAUCUUUUAAAAUCAUG